GACGAACGCUGGCGACGUGCUUAACACAUGCAAGUCGAACGGAAAGGCCCUGCUUUUGUGGGGUGCUCGAGUGGCGAACGGGUGAGUAACACGUGAGUAACCUGCCCUUGACUUUGGGAUAACUUCAGGAAACUGGGGCUAAUACCGGAUAGGAGCUCCUGCUGCAUGGAGGGGGUUGGAAAGUUUCGGCGGUUGGGGAUGGACUCGCGGCUUAUCAGCUUGUUGGUGGGGUAGUGGCUUACCAAGGCUUUGACGGGUAGCCGGCCUGAGAGGGUGACCGGCCACAUUGGGACUGAGAUACGGCCCAGACUCCUACGGGAGGCAGCAGUGGGGAAUAUUGCACAAUGGGCGGAAGCCUGAUGCAGCAACGCCGCGUGCGGGAUGACGGCCUUCGGGUUGUAAACCGCUUUCGCCUGUGACGAAGCGUGAGUGACGGUAAUGGGUAAAGAAGCACCGGCUAACUACGUG
rnacentral:rRNA from 1 species